rnacentral:rRNA from 1 species
UACGUAGGGGGCAAGCGUUGUCCGGAUUUAUUGGGCGUAAAGAGCGUGUAGGCGGCCACACAGGUCAGCUGUGAAAACUUGAGGCUCAACCUCGAGACGUCGGUUGAAACCGUAUGGCUAGAGUGCGGAAGGGGCAACUGGAAUUCUCGGUGUAGCGGUGAAAUGCGUAGAUAUCGAGAGGAACACCUGCGGCGAAGGCGGGUUGCUGGGCCGACACUGACGCUGAGGCGCGAAAGCGUGGGGAGCAAACAGG